CCAAGGUCCCUUUCCAUCAGGCAGCUUUCCAGCCACUCCUCCCCAAGCCUGUAGGGUUGACUGGGGUUGUUGUGGCCAAAAUGCAGGACCCGACUCUUGGCCCCACCUUCCCCUCCCCCCCCGUACAAAAUGGCAUUCCCAUUCAUGGCUUAGUGUGCAAGCAGCACUCACUUCACAUACUCCUUCUUCAGUGCCGUUUGACCAUGCGGUACUUGGAAUGGGGGAUCAGCUGGAAGUGCCUUAUCUUGUGCCCUGAGCUACGAGGAAGCUCAUGUGCUCCCUGUGCCCUAGUACAGGGCUAAGUGGCUGCAGUGUUGUGCAUGUAGCUGUUAGCAAGGUCCCUUGCUGGCACGGUGCCCCCGAUGGUGCCAAGGAGAGCUGGUGGUGCUCAGGCCUUACAGAGCAGGGCUGCUUCCCUGACAGUCACAGGGACUGUGGAGCUGCCGCUGUUACAGAGCUGCUGCUGUUACUGAGCAGAGCUGCUGGCUCCCAGCAGUUCUCCAGAAGAGGCCAGCAGCUCUGGUAGUACUGUUUCAACCGGACAACAAAGUGCCUUUGUCAGCAGCGGGCGCACAGCAGGCUGGCGGUGGCUGCAUUUUGGCACCCGGGAAGUUGUUCUGCUGCAUGGCGUUUGCAGAAAUCAGACGAGGUCGUGUGUGGGCGAGAAGCGAUAAAAAACGUGCAAAUAUUUAGUGUUACAUUCAGAAGCCUGGGAAUGCCAUUUGGGCCGGCCUCGUCAGAGCAGUAUCUCUUGGGAAUUUCACUUCCUCUUGCAAUUUGUUGUAGAUGUUAUGAGGCAGAUUAUAGCCCACUGCAGGACACGGCAUGCACCUUCAUUCUGUUCCUAAAUGGCACACAUUGCCCAAACUCGUGAAAUGCUUCCAUCAUUUCGGGUGGCAGGACAGAUGCAUGCACCUAGCACUUCCCUCCCACCCUUUCCCUUUCCCAAACUCCGAACCAGGGAAACCCGUCAUCUCUCAUCCGGAAGGAAUGUAUGUAAAUUUAUCAUUUUAAUUGAUGUCUCUCCACGAGCUUCGUAUAAUCAGCACUCGUAGCUUAACAUGCUAAUGAACAGGGUGAGUAAAAAUCUAAUAUGUUAAAGGAAUGCAGACCAAUUUGUCUGAGUCCUGCUGAGAUCUGUGGCGUGACUUUUGCAAAGAUUUACUUCCAUCUGAUUUUGCCCUCGUUUCUUUUGGCCCUCUGUGAGAGGAACGAUCCUCCCGCGCUGAUAGAAGCCUCUGGGAAGGAGCGAAGAGGGGUCAGGAAGAGGACGCUUGGAGAAGGGAGCAGAGCUCGUAAAUCCCCUUUCCCUUGGGCAGGCGCACAGCUCUGCAUGAGGCAGAGCAAGGGUUCUGAGGUGCUGCAUCCCCACGGCUCGGAGCAGCAUCUUGCCUGCGAGGUGCAGAGCAGCAGCAGCCUGCAGCUGGAGCCUUGCUGCAAGUAGGAGCACGGUGCUGACCUGCUGGGAAGACCCCCGGAGCCAUCCGGCUCUGUAGUUUGCACCCGGCACUCGGCAACCUGCCAAGCCCUGGCUUCCUCAGCAGCGUGCCUGGAAAUCAUCACAAGUUCAGCUUCAAGCUGUUAGCUGGGGGCCGGAGUCCCUCCCAAGCGGUGCUCAGCUACCACCAGCAGGUCAAAACAGCCUGAAAUCCCCCAGAAAGGAGCUGACGCGAUAAAUGUUCCCGCUGCGUGCUUCACACUUCUCGCACGCUACCUCCGUCUCCCCCACCUUCUGCCAGUAUCAUCUGUUCCCACCGUAAGCCCGUCAAGAGUAGGCACGGUGAUGUGCGGUGCCCGGGACAAUGGUGAUCCCUUUCAUAUGGCUCCUUAGCACUGCCAUAAUAAGCCUGAUAAAUAAAACAUGGGUUGCAGACACGGAUUUACUGGAGAGGGCUAAGUGGGCUGUAGCUCCCUCAUUAGUCUCUCCUGGUGCAGCAUGCACGCUCCUCAUUAGGUGGCACGGUAGCAGUUGUGCCUAGUCAUCUGCGAUGCAGCCGCAGCCGCGCCAAGGAUGCACCAGGGAUCCGAGGGAUUUUUUCCUCCUGUGUUAGUAAUAGGAAGUUACAAGGAGAAAAAAAAAAAAAAAAAGACCUUGAAUAUGAAGAGGAUGAAGGGGGUCAGACUGCAAUACCGAGUCUGAUUUUCUCUCCCUUGCUUCUCAGGAAACAAACACAGUGAAAUCCACCUGGCGCUGUUGAUAUCAAAGCGGCAUGAGUAGAAUGGAGACUUUUGGACCGCACAAACUCUGAUUUGAAGGAGCUUUGUUUCCCUCCAGUCUUAAAUGCUGCUUGUAAACUCUUGUCUGCAGUGCAAACUUCAUCCUCUCCCUUGCAUUUUUCUUCUUCUAUUUAAGGGAAAAGAAUCAAUUUGGCUGGUUUCAAGACCCUCAAAGCUGGGGACUUAGGAAUCUGGGUUAAUCUGAGCAGGGUUUGUGGAGCUUUGAUCCAGCUUUUCUUUCCGGCCAUCAUUUAAAUCCCUCCUACCUCCUGCAUACAAGCUGCAACUGCAUCAUCGUAGUAACCCUGUGACCGAGAGGCAUGAGAGCCUCCUCUGAGACUGCAAUCUCACUCUGAACAGCUCUCCAGCGGGUGCUCCUGAGUGGCAAUACAUCAUGCAGUUUUCUCCUUUAGAGGCGUGCGGUAUCAUCUCGCUGCCCUGCCUGGCUGGGGCUGGCCUGGGCUCAGGCACUCCGCGGCACAGAUGUGGCACAGAUGUGCCUGGGCUCGCAGACCUGCCAGCGGGGUGGGCAUCACCCUUUCAGCACUGCCUAUUACGCCUCCCCGCCGGCGUUUCCCACGAGGUCCUUUCAAUAUCCUUACUGCCAAGGUGAGGGAUAGCAGGUCUUUGUGCGGCGGCCACAGAUGAAAGCACACACGGGGUCGGGAGCAAACCUCGCCCCUUCCCCUUUGCAAUUGCGUCCUUGCUCUGACACAUAAGAUACCAGUUUAAAAUGGGAGAGGACUUUGUUGGCAUAACAAAAUAAUCCUCAGGAAACCUGUGACUUUCUGUAACAGUAUUUAAUAUGCACAGAUUCAAACAAAUGCCACAAUGAUGUACUUUUAUGGACAAGUAUUAUAUAUUAAGCCCUGAUUUAUACAUCUGUGUGUAAUACGCUGGGCUCUGAAGAGAGCCUUUAAUCUCUGUGAUGAGGCAGCACACACACUGAAACACUGAGUGUACCCGCACAGAAGCGAUGCACCGAGUGCGGCAUCCAUCAGAGUAAAUACACAAUGCCGUCCUUCUGUAACGUGUGCAGUUUGGACGUGGGACUGACAUCAGGAAUUGCAUCGCCUGCAGCGCUUGUGCAGCCUCUGCUGCCUGUCCCCACUGUGGAAGAAGUCCCUGGAUGGAGGGUAAGCCCUCUGCCUGCCCUUCCCUCCCAGACCCUGCCGCACCUUGCCUUUGGCCUGCCUGCCUGGGUGCUGCAGGGGCCCGUUUCCCUGUUUCCCCUUAGUCAGUGUGGGAGAUAACGUGGGCAUUGUCUCAGCGCAGGGUUCUGCAUUUAAUAAUCUCACCCGCUCAACUGUUUUUAUCUGAAUCUCCCUCCUGAACUGAUAAAUCUAAAUUGCACAUUUUCUAAACCGCUUAGCUUAGGGGUAAAUCUUGCAGGUAUCCUCAAAUGACUAGCUGUGCCUUUUGCACCUUUCUAGCACCAUCUACUGUAGCUUUAUUACACUGUCUGCAGGCUUACGAUUCCUGCAGGAGCUCCCUUCAUCCCGAGGAGCUGAUGGAAGAACGUGGGCUCAGUUUGGCUUGGAAAGACCCAGGGCUGGGAACAAUGGUGGAACAAAUCCAACACACACCUGUCCCAUAGUUCACCUUCCCUCAUGUUCAACCAGUGACGCAAUUCUCAGUGCCUGUCUUGCUGCUUGAUACAUUUUGCACUUGGUGAGAUGGAGCAGAAAAGAUGCGUGCCAGAUUUUACUGAAGCUUUCUGUGCUAGUUGAUGGAACAAGAACUUGGGACCUGGCAGGACAAGGGGUGGGAGCAGAGCUUUGUCUGGGGGGAAGAGGGGCCGCACAAGAACGAAUCUUCCAGUUGCUGCCAGAGGAUGCGGAGGGCCUGACAUCAGCUUGGAUUUCUACCGCCUAUUGGGGAGCUAUGGGAUGGGAUUAGCAGCAGCGAGUUUCGUAUUCUCUCGUUACAUUCAGUACUGAAAGGAAAGCUGCUCUUGAAGGAUCUCUUACUUUUUUCCUGGCCGUUCGGAGCUGACGUGGAGAUGCUGUGUGUCCUUAUUGUACGCACGCCUGUUAAAAUGUGGUCUUGGCUGGGGCAUGUUUUAUAGUAAAAGAUGGUUAUUACAACCAGAAAUAGAACCAGAGCUCUCUGACUGCAAUCACUAUUAUGGAUCUGUGUGAUUAACACCUUGUUGUUAAAAGCACCUAAAGCUGCAAGUCAAAAUCAGAACUAAACUGUGCUAAGCGUUAUAUAAGGCAUAUUUUUCUCUUUAUAGAUCUGUUGAUAUGAAUAUUUCUGGAGGUGACAGAUUAUAGUUCCAGGGAUAUAAAAUACAGAACAAGGUACAUCAUAUAUUAUUUUUGUUGUUAUUAAUCCCCAAAUUAGCCCUAUGCAACCACUUGCCAGGAGAAUUGACUCGUUUCAGUGCCAAGUAGCAUCUUUUUCUACAGCCCUUGUGAAAACUGGAAAUGAAGUGGGUUUGGCAGCUUUGCCCGUGAAGUUGUGCAGCAAAUCCGCAAACCUGAAGACCACAGGGUUUUGUCCUGGUUUUGUUUCUUGAUGAUGUUCAGAAAAGAGUUAAAUCCACGCUCUAACCAUAUGAAUAAUUUCUCCAUGCUCCCAUUGUGUAAGGGACGAGACAAGAGCCCAAAGAUUACCCUCUUCAGCAGUACCAUGCGUUUGCUAGCUUGAAAUUAUUACAACAGCAUUUGUUCAUUUGCUUGGUUGGAGAGGAUCUGUUUUUGCAGGAAAUUUGUAUUUCAAAGCAGAUUUCUACGUUCAUCAUUGUUAUCAUUAUUGGUGGUUUACAAGAUUUCUCCUUCCCCCCCACUCCUCCCGCCCCCAUUUGGGGAAGUGGGAACAAAUGAAAUAAACCCAUCAUAAAGAAUAAUUUUGUCCAGGUGGAACAUAAAUCAGCCAAAAAAAUAUUAUUCUACGUGGCAAAUAAAAAGCAUAUGCUGUAUUAUUUAAAGCACGGCCUCCAUAUUCACAUACAAAAUUAAUGCUACAGUGGGAGGUAAAACUGAUGGAGGCAGACAAUGAAAAUAUUAGGAGCAAAGCACGAUGCCAAGAACAAUUCAAGCAGAGCCACUUGCAGGGUCAUGGCCAUAUUCCAUUUCAAAUGGGCAUGGAAAUACACUGUGGGUUAUUCUUCUCCAGAGAUGCACAGAUAAUAAGCACCUGCUCCCCGUGUCUACCCUUCCCUUUUAACUGUUGAUUUAUUGAAUGUUUCUGAAAGCUGCGGCCAGGCUCGUGAGGGAGGCAGACCGUGGUGCCUGCGGGAAGAACUGGGAGCGGACAGAAGCACUCUGGCAGACACCCCACCAAUAGAUACCACGGGGUGCAGAGCCGAACGGGGCCAGGAACAAAAGCUGCCUUUUGUUUUGGAUCUAGACCAAACUGUGGUUUUGGAGGGCACGCAUACAGAGUUCAGCGGUCUACGGCACAAAAAGUGAUGUCUGCAAUACCUAGGCAUUCGGCUUCCCACAGCAUCGAGGGAAGUCCCGGAAUACCUACCUAUCAGAGGCCAGGUUAUUUACUUCCUCAAGUACCAGACUUCAACCACAGGAGCAGUGCAAGGCAAGGCAGAAGAUCAUCUUCUCCCACACGGAUUUCCCCAUCAAGGUCAGAAUUUGUCCUUACUAAAUGCGCUCCUAGGAUGAAGGGAGGGAACCCACGAACACAUAGCAUCCAGCAUGACUUGUUUUCCAUCUGGCAGAUCAACCAGCAGAAACCAGUCUGGGACCAGGUUCAGGGGACUGCCCUUCGCUUGCAGUCGGUUUCAGAGCUGCCUCAGUGAUGGGCUAAUGAGGUUCACCCACUGCCAGGCACCUCCCUGCGACUGAGAGCCACUGUACUGCAAAGCAAAGAGAACAACUUUGAUACUCUCUGGAGGUGAGACGGCAAGUGCAGCUGCGAGGCUCAAAAAGAAAGCACCAGAAAGCAGAGUACGAGCUACUGCUUGUCAUAUAGCAGAGGCAAACGUGAGCACAACCAAAACAACAGAGUGAUCACAACAGCGUUAUCCGAUUAGCAGCACCUGCAACCAACAGAAACAGAUCUUCAAAUGGAGCUGUCAGCCGCCGUUGCAACACCAAGUGUGCUACAACACACUGAGUGGGAAUAAGGAGCAGUGGUGUAAGAGGUGCAAUUGCAAGAGCACUGAAGGGACACUUGGCAGCGCUUGCGUGCCUGAAAUUAGAUCUGCCCAUCUCGUGCAUGGGUGCGUGGGGGGUGCCAGGUGGGAUUACAAUGAGGCUCUGCUUUCCCGUGAGGCAAAAAAUGUAUUCAAGUUCAGCCAAGAUAUAUGGGUUUAUAUACAAUGAUAUUAUUACUGUUGUUAUUGUGAUACAUGGCAUAAUAACUGCCUUUUACACACAUACCCAGACACGUGUACCGCCAUGCACUUAUUUUCUUUGUUACGAAAAAUAUUCAGCAUAUUGAAAUGUCACCAAAGUAUAGUUUAUCUGAUCGUAUUUCUUCCAUGAAGGGUAAGUGGUAAAAAUAAAGAGUAUUGAUAAAUCG